UCUAAUAUAUUAUGGGUCGGACUUCAAAAGGUCACAUUAGGCUCUAAAGAGAAAGUAAAAUAAACAAAUCGAAAACGUGGGUCCCAUAUAACCAUUUAGAUGCUGCCACACGGUGGAGAUGGGUCCCACUUAACCACGUGGCACAGUACAACGCUGUGGUGCGUACAGUACACUGCUGCAUAGCAAGCAGAGCAACUUCUCUCAUUCACCGUCUCUCAUUGCAAUUUUGCAGAAAUACCAGAAUCCUUUUUCACUCACACAAUUUUGUUUCAGAAAGGUUUGGGGAAAAAGGAAAAAGCAAUGUAUUUUGGAGAACGAGAGACCGGCGAUCAGUGACCAUCGACCAGUUUCUGGAUGAUCUUCCAUAUUUUCGGUUUUGUUCCUGGUGUUAAAUUGCUGCUCACCAACUAUUUGAUGAAAAUGCUCAACGAUGAACCACUUCCCCCUGUUCAAAUCACCGAAGAGCCUAAUCUCUACCACAUUCAUCCUGACGAACUUGCAAGUUUGUAUCCCAUUCUUUCUUCUAUCUAAUGCCUCUUCAAUUCCCUGUUUUCAAAAUUUCUGUUCUUUGUUUCUGAAAGAAGAGACUGAUAUGGAUAUUAUUAUUUCUGGGUUGUUGAUAAUAUAUGAUUAGGAAUUUAUUUUUUCUUUUAUGGUUUUUUGAAUUUCUUUCUUGAAUUGUAUAUAUGUAUUUGGGUAAUUCAGAGAAUUAGAAUCUGUCACAUAGAACGCCAACCCAUGUUUUUCUUCACUAGAAGAAACAGGUAGUGUAAUGGAUAAGACAUAUUGAAGGAGGAUGGGUUUUGAAGACUCUUGUAGCUUGAUAUGCCUGUGAAGGAUGAGGAAAUAGGAAGAUUAUUGGGCUGAAAACCAGAAUAAAAUUCUCUGGAAAUCAAAGAACUCCAACUUAGUUGAGGGUGACCGUAUGCAGACGCACUCAACAGGAAGAAUGUAACAUCCCUGAAGAGGUGGAUAAGUGAGUGUCUGCAAGAUAUACAUGUACAAGAAAAAGGUUUGGUAUACAGAAUGGUACUACUCAUCAGAUGAUGAUGAUGAGGAGGAGGAAUAGAUGUAUAGUUGUAGCAGUUGGCAUGCAUACUUAGAAUGCUUCUCCCAAAUUUUACAUUGCAUUUGCAUGUUUAUAUGCUUAUAUGCUAUAUUACUCUUUACAUUUUCCCAAAUACAUAUGUGUAGAAACUGUAUUAGUUUUUUUCUUCUGCAAUUCUACUUUUGAAGUUUCGAAACUAGCUGCAAUUCUUAGUGAUACAUUUGCUCCAGACUUGAAUAUUCUAUUGUAUUUUGAUUUCCCUAAGACACUUUCAAUGAAAUGCUCAGAGUAUUAUUAAGUAGUAUUGCUUCUUCUUUCUCAAAUCCAGCCUGGAAAGGGCCUUCCUCUGAUGGCCAUCACAUUUAGGAUGAGUCUUUUGAGUUGAAAUUUCACAACCAAUAUGAUUUCCUACAGGUAGACAUUGCUCUCUGUACUUGAGCUUUUUCUUUAAAAAGCUCUUAUACAUGGGAAUGCUUUUUCUGUAUUUUUGGUCAAUUCCCUGCUUCUGAUUAUCAGGAAUUCCGAACAUAUAUAUAUAUAUAUAUUUUUUUUUUUGGUAAUGAGGAAUUCCUUACAUGUUGAAUCUGGAAUCUCUGGAUCAUAUGAUCUCUUGAGACUUGUUAGUUUUUGCGAAAUGGGCUACAAAGAGAUCAUGCAAUUUCUACAAAUGGGUGAAUUGAAGAAGAACCAACUUAUCUGCGAAGAUGAUUAUUUAAUGGCUCUAUUUUGAUUAAGCUAAGGCUAAGCACUUAUCUAUCAAAAUGAAAUACUUUUGUAUAAAACUUUCGGAAGUUGCCAAUGAAGUUUCUCAUCAUAAACUCCC